AUUUUUAAGCAACACACUAAAUAUUUUUGCAAAAUUGGUAAGUAUUUGGGAAUUUCUUAGCAGUUUUACCAGCAAAUAUUUCAGAAAUGUAGGUCAACUUCAGCGAUCUUACAUACUUCUUUAACAAAAUUUUCAGUCUUUUAGCUAAUUUAACAUUUUAUAAACAGCUUUUGCAUUUUCAGCAAAUCCCUAUUUUCAGCAAAAAGUUUCAGCAUCUUUAGUGACUACUUUCAGCAAAUAGAAUUCACACUAGCCUUUUGCAGGUAAUGCAACUUAUUUAGUUAAAAAUAGUUUGUUUUAUCCUUUAGGGAGAAUCUUACCUUCUGAAUAUUUUAGGAAUCAGGCAGUCGAGUCGCUUUCUGCCAAAUUAAAGCUGAAAAUCAGAAGAAAGUGUUCAGGCUUCAAUUUUGGUUCCACCCAUGGUUUGCUAAUUUUUUGAGGAUGUCCUAAACCGUCCAGAUUAUAAUCAGUUUACCGUCAACAUGCUUAAAUAUCCUGCUCAGAUUCUUGGUGAUAGUUUUUUCUUGUAUUUAAACACGCCAUCUGCUCCUUUCUGCAGAGUUUGUUAGCGAUGGUUCCCGUGGAAACGGCUGCUGCCAAAAAGAUCCAGAUUUCAGAUUUAAAAUUAGCACUUCAAAAGGCUGAGGUUGAUCAGAGUGGAAUCUCGGAGGCUCUGGGCUCAGACGUGUCCUCCGCUCAGAUGAACGCCGUCCUGCUGGACGUUUACCAGAAGCUCAGAGAGAACCGUCUCCUCCUGAUUUAACGAGUCAGCUGCUCAGAUGUUCCAUACAUGACUGGUGAUUCAAUUCAUAGGUUAUGGCGGAAACAAUGUACAAACUAAAAUGCGACGUGUUUGAGAAGUCUGUUCUGAUCGUUUACAUCACAACAAAUAAAUGAGGUCCAAAGAUAAAGAAUUUGUAAGAAAAGUUACCAGAUAUUCAUGUAACCCACUGUUUUGUAAAGUUAAAUAUUUGAGAAGUGGAUAAAGGUGAAAACAAUUAUCCUGCAUUAUUACUUUGUUGAUUUCAAGCCUGUAUGUAAUGAAGGUGGCUGGUGUUAGAGUGGAGGAUGCUGAAGACGAGCUUAGAUGGAGGAAACUGAUUCACUGUGGCGACACCUGAAGGGAAAAGCCUAAAGGAAAAGAAGAAGAUGUAAUGUUAUUUUCCUUUUUUACCCUCCUAAUUUUAGUGUUUAUUUUAUUAUUAUUUAUUUUUUUAUUAUAUAAUUACCUUAUUAUUUUUAAAAAUUACCUUUAAUACCUUUUUAUUUAUUUAAUUUUAUUUUUUAAAUAAUGUAUUAUUUUUUUAAGCGAUAUAAUUCAUGUUUUAUUUGAUUUGAACUUUUUAUGAUCUUCAUUUAUUUUAAAAAAAUAUUUGUAACUCAGUUUUUUAAAAUUUGAUUAAAUUUUUUAGUUAUUUUUUAUGUUUUUAAUUAUUUUUUUUAAAAAAAUACUUUUUAUUUUUUAAUUUAAUUCAUUUUUUAUUU
rnacentral:lncRNA from 1 species